rnacentral:lncRNA from 1 species
UACAAAUAUACAUUAAUAAUUCAAAAUAGUCAAAAAUGGAAACGAAUUCAAAGGUUCACAAUCAAUGGAUAGAUAAGUAAAAUUACACCUAUUUAUACUAUGGAAUAUUGUUCAACAAUAAAAAAUGAUGAUAUAUUUAAACCUGUUCUAAUAAGGAUGAAUCACAAAUCACUAUGUAGUGAAUGAAGCCAGACACAAAAUGCUACACUCCAUCUCAAAAGUUCAGAAGAGUCCAGCACACCGAGAUAGAGGAGUGAUUGUUAAUGGAUGUAGUUUCCUUUGUGGAGAUAAGCAAGGAUUGACUAUUCCUGCCUUUGAACAUGAGAAAAGAUUUUCAGGUGAUUCCUGUCAAAUUUUGUCAUUUUCAGUAGAUUUUCA